GUCUAUAGCCAUUCUACCCUGAACAAGACUGAUCCUGUCUGAUCUCGGAAGCUAAGCAGGGUCGGGCCUGGUUAGUACUUGGAUGGGAGGUCACCUAGGAAGACCAGGUGCUGUAGGCU
rnacentral:rRNA from 1 species